rnacentral:rRNA from 1 species
UACGAGGGGUGCAAGCGUUAAUCGGAAUUACUGGGCGUAAAGCGUGCGUAGGCGGUUAUUUAAGCAAGAUGUGAAAGCCCCGGGCUCAACCUGGGAACUGCAUUUUGAACUGGGUAACUAGAGUACUGUAGAGGGUGGUGGAAUUUCCAGUGUAGCGGUGAAAUGCGUAGAGAUUGGAAGGAACAUCAGUGGCGAAGGCGGCCACCUGGACAGAUACUGACGCUGAGGCACGAAAGCGUGGGGAGCAAACAGG